UAACAAUCAAAACUAAUUUACUCUGCUUCACAAACAAAGCAACGCAACAGGCGACGCAUGUACGUAAACGAAAUGGUGCACUUCUUCGAAACGAAUUCUUUUUUACAGCAGUGCCCGAUUAUGCCCUCCUUCAAAACGUGCCUGAUUACGCGAUGAUGCCCAUAAUCGAAUCAAUUUUUUCUUCAUUCUCUUCUUGUUGAAUGGCGUUAACGAGAAUUCACAAGGAACACUUUCAAUGAUUUCAUCCCCUGUUUCACCAACUCCAUGCAAUCGCCCUUCUCCCCAAAACCCUUUUUAAACCCCCCCAAACACCCAUCGUAAAUCAAGAACAAUAGUUACGAUCACACCCCAAGUCAAAGAGAUUUGAAAGAACAUGGCAAACAGAGGCAAAAAUUUCCCUCUUUAUAUAUAGAUUCAGAAAGGAGAAUCAAUAACACAAUUUCCCUAUUUAUCUGUAGAUUCGGAAAGGAAAAUCAGUUAUGUUUCUUUAUAUGUUUUCGUUAUAUAUAUUGAAGAUGAUUUGACUGUGGUUUGAGUCUUGUUUCUUUUCCGGUCAAAGGAACUAUUGUAAUGCCCUGUUCUUCGUUCAUUUUUUAUCGGAGAUUUAGAGU